GAUGAACGCUGGCGGCGUGCCUAAUACAUGCAAGUCGAGCGAACGGACGAGAAGCUUGCUUCUCUGAUGUUAGCGGCGGACGGGUGAGUAACACGUGGAUAACCUACCUAUAAGACUGGGAUAACUUCGGGAAACCGUAGCUAAUACCGGAUAAUAUUUUGAACCGCAUGGUUCAAAAGUGAAAGACGGUCUUGCUGUCACUUAUAGAUGGAUCCGCGCUGCACUAGCUAGUUGGUAAGGUAACGGCUUACCAAGGCAACGAUGCAUAGCCGACCUGAGAGGGUGAUCGGCCACACUGGAACUGAGACACGGUCCAGACUCCUACGGGAGGCAGCAGUAGGGAAUCUUCCGCAAUGGGCGAAAGCCUGACGGAGCAACGCCGCGUGAGUGAUGAAGGUCUUCGGAUCGUAAAACUCUGUUAUUAGGGAAGAACAUAUGUGUAAGUAACUGUGCACAUCUUGACGGUACCUAAUCAGAAAGCCACGGCUAACUACGUG
rnacentral:rRNA from 1 species